rnacentral:rRNA from 1 species
AGCAGCCGCGGUAAUUCCAGCUCCAAUAGCGUAUAUUAAAGUUGUUGCAGUUAAAAAGCUCGUAGUUGAAUUUCGGGAUCAGUAUGUUGGUCGUGCUUCGGUACGUACUGUCAUUACUGGUUUCUACCUUCUGAAGAACCUUGAUGUCAUUAAUUUGGUGUCUUGGGGAAUCAGGACUGUUACUUUGAAAAAUUAGAGUGUUUAAAGCAAGCAUACGCUUGAAUACAUUAGCAUGGAAUAAUGAAAUAGGACGUUUGAUUCUAUUUUGUUGGUUUCUAGGAUCGACGUAAUGAUUAAUAGGGAUAGUUGGGGGCAUUAGUAUUCAAUUGUCAGAGGUGAAAUUCUUGGAUUUAUUGAAGACUAACUACUGCGAAAGCAUUUGCCAAGGAUGUUUUCAUUAAUCAAGAACGAAAGUUAGGGGAUCGAAGACGAUCAGAUACCGUCGUAGUCUUAACCAUAAACUAUGCCGACUAGGGAUCGGAUGAUGUUAUUUUUAAUGACUCAUUCGGCGCCUUAAC